AUAUUUGAGAGUUUGAUCCUGGCUCAGGAUGAACGCUGGCGGCGUGCCUAACACAUGCAAGUCGAGCGGAGAUAGUGUUUAACACUGAGUAUUUAUUUAAAGUGCUAAUUUGAUAGCCUUUGAUAGCCGCGUCAAGCGCGCGAUAGCGAGCUUGACGCAAAUUAUGUUUAACACACAAUAAGUAUUGAGUGUUAAACACUAUCUCAGCGGCGGACGGGUGAGUAACGCGUGGGUAACCUGCCCUGUACACUUGGAUAACACACCGAAAGGUGUGCUAAUACAAGAUGAUAUCAAAGGAAGGCAUCUUCUUUUGAUCAAAGUUUUUGCGGUACAGGAUGGGCCCGCGUCCCAUUAGCUAGUUGGUGGGGUAACGGCCUACCAAGGCGACGAUGGGUAGCCGACCUGAGAGGGUGAUCGGCCACACUGGAACUGAGACACGGUCCAGACUCCUACGGGAGGCAGCAGUGGGGAAUAUUGCACAAUGGGCGAAAGCCUGAUGCAGCAACGCCGCGUGAACGAUGAAGGCCUUCGGGUCGUAAAGUUCUGUCCUUGAGGAAGAAUUCUGACGGUACUCAAGGAGGAAGCCCCGGCUAACUACGUGCCAGCAGCCGCGGUAAUACGUAGGGGGCUAGCGUUAUCCGGAAUUACUGGGCGUAAAGGGUGCGUAGGCGGCCCUUCGAGUCAGAGGUGAAAGGCUACGGCUCAACCGUAGUAAGCCUUUGAAACUGUUGGGCUUGAGUGCAGGAGAGGAGAGUGGAAUUCCCAGUGUAGCGGUGAAAUGCGUAGAUAUUGGGAGGAACACCAGUUGCGAAGGCGGCUCUCUGGACUGCAACUGACGCUGAGGCACGAAAGCGUGGGGAGCAAACAGGAUUAGAUACCCUGGUAGUCCACGCCGUAAACGAUGAGUGCUAGGUGUCGGGAGUUACCCCUCUCGGUGCCGUAGUUAACGCAUUAAGCACUCCGCCUGGGGAGUACGCUCGCAAGAGUGAAACUCAAAGGAAUUGACGGGGACCCGCACAAGCAGCGGAGCAUGUGGUUUAAUUCGAAGCAACGCGAAGAACCUUACCUAGGCUUGACAUCCCUUAGACAGCUCCUUAAUCGGAGCCUUCCUUUCGGGGACUGAGGUGACAGGUGGUGCAUGGUUGUCGUCAGCUCGUGUCGUGAGAUGUUGGGUUAAGUCCCGCAACGAGCGCAACCCUUACUUUUAGUUGCCAGCAUUAAGUUGGGCACUCUAAAGGGACUGCCGAGGAUAACUCGGAGGAAGGUGGGGAUGACGUCAAAUCAUCAUGCCCCUUAUGCCUAGGGCUACACACGUGCUACAAUGGCCAGUACAGAGGGCUGCAAGGUCGUGAGGCUGAGCUAAUCCCUUAAAGCUGGUCUCAGUUCGGAUUGCAGGCUGAAACUCGCCUGCAUGAAGCUGGAGUUGCUAGUAAUCGCGGAUCAGAAUGCCGCGGUGAAUACGUUCCCGGGUCUUGUACACACCGCCCGUCACACCAUGGGAGUCGGGGGCACCCGAAGUCAGCUACCUAACCGCAAGGAGGGGGCUGCCGAAGGUGAAAUCGAUGACUGGGGUGAAGUCGUAACAAGGUAGCCGUAUCGGAAGGUGCGGCUGGAUCACCUCCUUU
rfam:[Clostridium] paradoxum JW-YL-7 = DSM 7308 strain JW-YL-7 ctg1, whole genome shotgun sequence.